rnacentral:lncRNA from 1 species
AAAUUACAAAAACACCCCUCUUGUUUGGAUAAUUACAAACACCCCCCUCAACUCAUCAAAUUUAGUGGAAUCUUCGAGAUUAUAUGGAAUAUUAUCACUUGUGUACCCGUUUUAUCCCAUUCAAACUCUACAUUAUGAAGCAAGAUGACAAUAAUAUGUGAUUUUUAGCUUGUAUAUAUCAGUUUGUGGUGCAUCGAAAACUGUAUUUUUUACACAAAGAGAACAAACUAGAGCACAUUUCACGGAAUC